CCUUCGAUAGCUCAGUUGGUAGAGCGGUGGACUGUAGAGGAAUCCGUCCGAAUGGUGGUUGUGUGUUUCUGCAUUGUUGUGCACCCCUUUCUCUCAGUGUAUAGGAACACAAAUAUCUCUACCAUUUCGUGAUGUUUCAGUUAUCCAUAGGUCACUGGUUCAAAUCCGGUUCGAAGGA
rnacentral:tRNA from 1 species